rnacentral:rRNA from 1 species
AUUGAACGCUGGCGGAAUGCUUUACACAUGCAAGUCUACCGGCAGCCCGGCCUUCGGUCUGGUGGCGAGUGGCGAACGGGUGCGUAAUACCUCGGACCGUGCCCCGUCGUGGGGGAUACCGUCUCGAAAGCUACGCUAAUACCGCAUACGAUCUACGGAUGCAAGCGGGGGAUCCCAACCCCUCGCGCCCUUCGCGCGGCCGGUUGCAGAUUCGGUAGUUGGUGGGGUAAAGGCUCACCAAGCCGACGAUCUGUAGCUGGUCUGAGAGGACGAGCAGCCACACUGGGACUGAGACACGGCCAAGACUCCGAAGGGAGGCAGCAGUGGGGAAUUUUGGACAAUGGGCGCAAGCAUGAGGCAGCCAUGCGGCGGGCAGGAUGAAGGCACUCGGGUGGGAAAAUGCUUUUGUAGGGAACGAAAAGGCGCGGGUUAAUAGGAGGGGCUCAUGACGGGACAGUAAGAAUAAGCACCGGCUAACGACGGGCCAGCCGCCGCAGUAA